GAUGAACGCUGGCGGCGUGCCUAAUACAUGCAAGUCGAGCGAACAGACGAGGAGCUUGCUCCUCUGACGUUAGCGGCGGACGGGUGAGUAACACGUGGAUAACCUACCUAUAAGACUGGGAUAACUUCGGGAAACCGGAGCUAAUACCGGAUAAUAUAUUGAACCGCAUGGUUCAAUAGUGAAAGACGGUUUUGCUGUCACUUAUAGAUGGAUCCGCGCCGCAUUAGCUAGUUGGUAAGGUAACGGCUUACCAAGGCAACGAUGCGUAGCCGACCUGAGAGGGUGAUCGCCCACACUGGAACGGAGACACGGUCCAGACUCCUACGGGAGGCAGCAGUAGGGAAUCGGCCGCAGUGGGCGAAAGCCUGACGGAGCAACGCCGCGUGAGUGAUGAAGGUCUUCGGAGCGUAAAACUCUGUUAUUAGGGAAGAACAAAUGUGUAAGUAACUAUGCACGUCUUGACGGUACCUAAUCAGAAAGCCACGGCUAACUACGUG
rnacentral:rRNA from 1 species